GACGGAGGAUGCAAGCGUUAUCCGGAAUGAUUGGGCGUAAAGGGUCCGCAGGUGGCAGUGUAAGUCUGCUGUCAAAGAAUGAGGCUUAACCUUAUCAAGGCAGUGGAAACUACACAGCUAGAGUACGGUCGGGGUAGAAGGAAUUCCUGGUGUAGCGGUGAAAUGCGUAGAGAUCAGGAAGAACACCGGUGGCGAAAGCGUUCUGCUAGACCUGUACUGACACUGAGGGACGAAAGCUAGGGGAGCGAAUGGG
rnacentral:rRNA from 1 species